AACGAACGCUGGCGGCGUGUCUUAAGCAUGCAAGUUGAGCGGCAAGGGGUAGCAAUACCCCCCUAGAGCGGCGGACUGGUGAGUAACGCGUGGGUGAUCUGCCCUUGGGAUGGGGGAUAGCCUCUAGAAAUAGAGGGUAAUACCGAAUACGUUCGCAGGGUUGCGGCCUUGCGAGGAAAAGCGCUUCGGCGCUGCCCGAGGAUGAGCCCGCGUCCCAUUAGCUAGUUGGUGAGGUAACGGCCCACCAAGGCGAUGAUGGGUAGGCGGCCUGAGAGGGUGUACGCCCACACUGGGACUGAGAUACGGCCCAGACUCCUACGGGAGGCUG
rnacentral:rRNA from 1 species